ACACACAUGAUGGCUCAGUCAUAGUACCGUAUACAAGUAGGUACACACACACACACACAUGAUGGCUCAGUCAUAGUCUGCCAUAGCACCGUAUACAAGUAGGUACACACACACACAUGAUGGCUCAGUCAUAGUCUGUCAUAGCACCGUAUACAAGUAGGUACACACACACACACACAUGAUGGCUCAGUCAUAGUCUGUCAUAGCACCGUAUACAAGUAGGUACACACACACACACACACAUAUGAUGGCUCAGUCAUAGUCUGUCAUAGCACCGUAUACAAGUAGGUACACACACACACACACAUGAUGGCUCAGUCAUAGUCUGUCAUAGCACCGUAUACAAGUAGGUACACACACACACACACACAUGAUGUCUCAGUCAUAGUCUGUCAUAGCACCGUAUACAAGUAGGUACACACACACACACACACACACAUGAUGGCUCAGUCAUAGUCUGCCAUAGCACCGUAUACAAGUAGGUACACACACACACACACACAUGAUGGCUCAGUCAUAGUCUGCCAUAGCACCGUAUACAAGUAGGUACACACACACACACACAUGAUGGCUCAGUCAUAGUCUGUCAUAGCACCGUAUACAAGUAGGUACACACACACACACAUGAUGGCUCAGUCAUAGUCUGCCAUAGCACCGUAUACAAGUAGGUACACACACACACAUGAUGGCUCAGUCAUAGUCUGUCAUAGCACCGUACACAAGUAGGUACACACACACACAUGAUGGCUCAGUUAUAGUCUGUCAUAGCACCGUAUACAAGUAGGUACACACACACACACACAUGAUGGCUCAGUCAUAGUCUGCCAUAGCACCGUAUACAUGUAGGUAAACACACACACACACAUGAUGGCUCAGUCAUAGUCUGUCAUAGCACCGUAUACAAGUAGGUACACACACACACACACAUGAUGUCUCAGUCAUGGUCUGUCAUAGCACCGUAUACAAGUAGGUACACACACACACACACACACACACACAUGAUGGCUCAGUCAUAGUCUGCCAUAGCACCGUAUACAAGUAGGUACACACACACACAUGAUGGCUCAGUCAUAGUCUGCCAUAGCACCGUAUACAAGUAGGUACACACACACACACACACAUGAUGGCUCAGUCCUAGUCUGCCAUAGCACCGUAUACAAGUAGGUACACACACACACACACAUGAUGGCUCAGUCAUAGUCUGUCAUAGCACCGUAUACAAGUAGGUACACACACACACACAUGAUGGCUCAGUCAUAGUCUGUCAUAGCACCGUAUACAAGUAGGUACACACACACACACACAUGAUGGCUCAGUCAUAUUCUGCCAUAGCACCGUAUACAAGUAGGUACACACACACACACACAUGAUGGCUCAGUCAUAGUCUGUCAUAGCACCGUAUACAAGUAGGUACACACACACACACACAUGAUGGCUCAGUCAUAGUCUGCCAUAGCACCGUAUACAAGUAGGUACACACACACACACACAUGAUGGCUCAGUCAUAGUCUGUCAUAGCACCGUAUACAAGUAGGUACACACACACACACACAUGAUGGCUCAGUCAUAGUCUGCCAUAGCACCGUAUACAAGUAGGUACACACACACACACACAUGAUGGCUCAGUCAUAGUCUGCCAUAGCACCGUAUACAAGUAGGUACACACACACACACACAUGAUGGCUCAGUCAUAGUCUGUCAUAGCACCGUAUACAAGUAGGCACACACACACACAUGAUGGCUCAGUCAUAGUCUGCCAUAGCACCGUAUACAAGUAGGUACACACACACACACACACAUGAUGGCUCAGUCAUAGUCUGCCAUAGCACCGUAUACAAGUAGGUACACACACACACACACACAUGAUGGCUCAGUCAUAGUCUGCCAUAGCACCGUAUACAAGUAGGUACACACACACACACACACAUGAUGGCUCAGUCAUAGUCUGCCAUAGCACCGUAUACAAGUAGGUACACACACACACACACACACACAUGAUGGCUCAGUCAUAGUCUGCCAUAGCACCGUAUACAAGUAGGUACACACACACACACACAUGAUGGCUCAGUCAUAGUCUGUCAUAGCACCGUAUACAAGUAGGUACACACACACACACACAUGAUGGCUCAGUCAUAGUCUGCCAUAGCACCGUAUACAAGUAGGUACACACACACACACACACAUGAUGGCUCAGUCAUAGUCUGUCAUAGCACCGUAUACAAGUAGGUACACACACACACACACAUGAUGGCUCAGUCAUAUUCUGUCAUAGCACCGUAUACAAGUAGGUACACACACACACACACACACACAUGAUGGCUCAGUCAUAGUCUGCCAUAGCACCGUAUACAAGUAGGUACACACACACACACACACAUGAUGGCUCAGUCAUAGUCUGCCAUAGCACCGUAUACAAGUAGGUACACACACACACACACACACACAUGAUGGCUCAGUCAUAGUCUGCCAUAGCACCGUAUACAAGUAGGUACACACACACACACACAUGAUGGCUCAGUCAUAGUCUGUCAUAGCACCGUAUACAAGUAGGUACACACACACACACACAUGAUGGCUCAGUCAUAGUCUGCCAUAGCACCGUAUACAAGUAGGUACACACACACACAUGAUGGCUCAGUCAUAGUCUGUCAUAGCACCGUAUACAAGUAGGUACACACACACACAUGAUGGCUCAGUCAUAGUCUGUCAUAGCACCGUAUACAAGUAGGUACACACACACACACACAUGAUGGCUCAGUCAUAGUCUGUCAUAGCACCGUAUACAAGUAGGUACACACACACACACACAUGAUGGCUCAGUCAUAGUCUGUCAUAGCACCGUAUACAAGUAGGUACACACACACACACACACACACAUGAUGUCUCAGUCAUAGUCUGUCAUAGCACCGUAUACAAGUAGGUACACACACACACACACACAUGAUGGCUCAGUCAUAGUCUGCCAUAGCACCGUAUACAAGUAGGUACACACACACACACACACAUGAUGGCUCAGUCAUAGUCUGCCAUAGCACCGUAUACAAGUAGGUACACACACACACACAUGAUGGCUCAGUCAUAGUCUGUCAUAGCACCGUAUACAAGUAGGUACACACACACACACACAUGAUGGCUCAGUCAUAGUCUGCCAUAGCACCGUAUACAAGUAGGUACACACACACACAUGAUGGCUCAGUCAUAGUCUGUCAUAGCACCGUACACAAGUAGGUACACACACACACACACAUGAUGGCUCAGUUAUAGUCUGUCAUAGCACCGUAUACAAGUAGGUACACACACACACACACACAUGAUGGCUCAGUCAUAGUCUGCCAUAGCACCGUAUACAUGUAGGUACACACACACACACACAUGAUGGCUCAGUCAUAGUCUGUCAUAGCACCGUAUACAAGUAGGUACACACACACACACACACAUGAUGUCUCAGUCAUAGUCUGUCAUAGCACCGUAUACAAGUAGGUACACACACACACACACACACAUGAUGGCUCAGUCAUAGUCUGCCAUAGCACCGUAUACAAGUAGGUACACACACACACAUGAUGGCUCAGUCAUAGUCUGCCAUAGCACCGUAUACAAGUAGGUACACACACACACACACACAUGAUGGCUCAGUCAUAGUCUGCCAUAGCACCGUAUACAAGUAGGUACACACACACACACACAUGAUGGCUCAGUCAUAGUCUGUCAUAGCACCGUAUACAAGUAGGUACACACACACACACACACACAUGAUGGCUCAGUCAUAGUCUGCCAUAGCACCGUAUACAAGUAGGUACACACACACACAUGAUGGCUCAGUCAUAGUCUGCCAUAGCACCGUAUACAAGUAGGUACACACACACACACACACAUGAUGGCUCAGUCAUAGUCUGCCAUAGCACCGUAUACAAGUAGGUACACACACACACACACAUGAUGGCUCAGUCAUAGUCUGUCAUAGCACCGUAUACAAGUAGGUACACACACACACACACAUGAUGGCUCAGUCAUAGUCUGCCAUAGCACCGUAUACAAGUAGGUACACACACACACAUGAUGGCUCAGUCAUAGUCUGUCAUAGCACCGUAUACAAGUAGGUACACACACACACACACACAUGAUGGCUCAGUCAUAGUCUGUCAUAGCACCGUAUACAAGUAGGUACACACACACACACAUGAUGGCUCAGUCAUAGUCUGUCAUAGCACCGUAUACAAGUAGGUACACACACACACACACACAUGAUGGCUCAGUCAUAGUCUGUCAUAGCACCGUAUACAAGUAGGUACACACACACACACACACAUGAUGUCUCAGUCAUAGUCUGUCAUAGCACCGUAUACAAGUAGGUACACACACACACACACACACAUGAUGGCUCAGUCAUAGUCUGCCAUAGCACCGUAUACAAGUAGGUACACACACACACACACACAUGAUGGCUCAGUCAUAGUCUGCCAUAGCACCGUAUACAAGUAGGUACACACACACACACACAUGAUGGCUCAGUCAUAGUCUGUCAUAGCACCGUAUACAAGUAGGUACACACACACACACACAUGAUGGCUCAGUCAUAGUCUGCCAUAGCACCGUAUACAAGUAGGUACACACACACACAUGAUGGCUCAGUCAUAGUCUGUCAUAGCACCGUAUACAAGUAGGUGUACACACACACACACAUGAUGGCUCAGUCAUAGUCUGUCAUAGCACCGUAUACAAGUAGGUACACACACACACACACAUGAUGGCUCAGUCAUAGUCUGCCAUAGCACCGUAUACAAGUAGGUACACACACACACACACAUGAUGGCUCAGUCAUAGUCUGUCAUAGCACCGUAUACAAGUAGGUACACACACACACACACACAUGAUGUCUCAGUCAUAGUCUGUCAUAGCACCGUAUACAAGUAGGUACACACACACACACACACACAUGAUGGCUCAGUCAUAGUCUGCCAUAGCACCGUAUACAAGUAGGUACACACACACACACACAUGAUGGCUCAGUCAUAGUCUGUCAUAGCACCGUAUACAAGUAGGUACACACACACACACACAUGAUGGCUCAGUCAUAGUCUGCCAUAGCACCGUAUACAAGUAGGUACACACACACACAUGAUGGCUCAGUCAUAGUCUGUCAUAGCACCGUAUACAAGUAGGUACACACACACACACACACAUGAUGUCUCAGUCAUAGUCUGUCAUAGCACCGUAUACAAGUAGGUACACACACACACACACACACAUGAUGGCUCAGUCAUAGUCUGCCAUAGCACCGUAUACAAGUAGGUACACACACACACACACACAUGAUGGCUCAGUCAUAGUCUGCCAUAGCACCGUAUACAAGUAGGUACACACACACACACACACACACAUGAUGGCUCAGUCAUAGUCUGCCAUAGCACCGUAUACAAGUAGGUACACACACACACACACAUGAUGGCUCAGUCAUAGUCUGUCAUAGCACCGUAUACAAGUAGGUACACACACACACACACAUGAUGGCUCAGUCAUAGUCUGCCAUAGCACCGUAUACAAGUAGGUACACACACACACAUGAUGGCUCAGUCAUAGUCUGUCAUAGCACCGUAUACAAGUAGGUACACACACACACACACAUGAUGGCUCAGUCAUAGUCUGUCAUAGCACCGUAUACAAGUAGGUACACACACACACACACAUGAUGGCUCAGUCAUAGUCUGUCAUAGCACCGUAUACAAGUAGGUACACACACACACACACACACAUGAUGUCUCAGUCAUAGUCUGUCAUAGCACCGUAUACAAGUAGGUACACACACACACACACACACAUGAUGGCUCAGUCAUAGUCUGCCAUAGCACCGUAUACAAGUAGGUACACACACACACACACAUGAUGGCUGAGUCAUAGUCUGCCAUAGCACCGUAUACAAGUAGGUACACACACACACACACACAUGAUGGCUCAGUCAUAGUCUGUCAUAGCACCGUAUACAAGUAGGUACACACACACACACACAUGAUGGCUCAGUCAUAGUCUGUCAUAGCACCGUAUACAAGUAGGUACACACACACACACACAUGAUGGCUCAGUCAUAGUCUGCCAUAGCACCGUAUACAAGUAGGUACACACACACACACACAUGAUGGCUCAGUCAUAGUCUGUCAUAGCACCGUAUACAAGUAGGUACACACACACACACACACACAUGAUGGCUCAGUCAUAGUCUGCCAUAGCACCGUAUACAAGUAGGUACACACACACACAUGAUGGCUCAGUCAUAGUCUGCCAUAGCACCGUAUACAAGUAGGUACACACACACACACACACAUGAUGGCUCAGUCAUAGUCUGCCAUAGCACCGUAUACAAGUAGGUACACACACACACACACAUGAUGGCUCAGUCAUAGUCUGUCAUAGCACCGUAUACAAGUAGGUACACACACACACACAUGAUGGCUCAGUCAUAGUCUGCCAUAGCACCGUAUACAAGUAGGUACACACACACACAUGAUGGCUCAGUCAUAGUCUGUCAUAGCACCGUAUACAAGUAGGUACACACACACACACACAUGAUGGCUCAGUCAUAGUCUGUCAUAGCACCGUAUACAAGUAGGUACACACACACACAUGAUGGCUCAGUCAUAGUCUGUCAUAGCACCGUAUACAAGUAGGUACACACACACACACAUGAUGGCUCAGUCAUAGUCUGUCAUAGCACCGUAUACAAGUAGGUACACACACACACACACACACAUGAUG